CGUUUCUUGAUUGAUUGAUUGGAUCAUUGAUUCAUUGAUUUUAGACGAAUUCUAGCUCUUUCACCAGGCAGGAGUGCAGUGGCACAGCCUUGGCCCACUUUAACCUCCCCCUCUUUGGUUCAAGCGAUUCUUCUGUCUCAGCCUCCCUUGUAGCUGGGACCCCAGGAGCGUGCCACCACGCCUGGCUAAUAUUUUUGUAUUUUUAGUAGAGACCAGGUUUCUCCAUGUUGGCCAGGAUGGCAUCGAUCUCUUGAGCUCGUGUUCCACCUGUCUUGGCCCUCCAAAGUGCUAGGAUUACUGGACUGAGCCAUGUCGCCCAGCCUUUAUUUAUUUAUUUACAUAAUUACUGAUUUAUUUACUUAGAGGCAGGAAGCCUGGAUUGCAUUUAUAUAUUUAUAUUUUACUUAUUUAUUUAAUUAUUUUUAUCUUAGUAUUUUUAAAAAUAGAGACAGGGAUUCUUUCACCAUCUUGGCCAGUCUGGUCUCGAUGUCCUGAUCUCAGGUGAUAUGGCCGGCUCAGUCUCCCAAUGGGUGGGUGAUUAAAAACAUGAGCCACCAAAGUGAGGCUGCUUAUUGAUUGAUUUAUUUAGAGACAGACUUGCAUUUAUUUAUUUAUUUGCUGAUGUACUUUUGGAGAAGCAGGUCGAAUUCACUUUAUUUAUUUGGAGGCAGACUUCUAUUUAUGUAUUUAUUUAGCUAUCUAAUUAUUUAGAGGCAGGCUCACAUUUACUCAUUUGUUUUAUUGAGACCCAGGCUCACAACAUUUUUUUUAUACUUAUGUAUUUCUGUGCAGGCUUGCAUUUAUCCGUUUUCUUAACUGUCUGUAUAAUGAUUUAGAGGCAGCCUCGCAUUUAUUUAUUUAUUUAUUUGCUUAUUUAUUUUAGAGGGAGUCUUGCUCUGUCACCAGGCUGGAGUGCACUGGCCCAUUUUUGACUUCCUGCAACCUCCGCUUCCUGGAUUCAAGCGAUUCUUCCUCCUACGCCUCCGGAGGAUCUGGGACCACAGCAUCAUUUCAGGAUGAGCAUUUCGUGUCAAGUGGAUUCAAGGAACAGUGUAAAGGAUCCAUGGCCUCAGUCACCAUGAAGACCCUCCCAAGAGCCAACCG
rnacentral:lncRNA from 1 species